UACGUAGGGGGCAAGCGUUGUCCGGAUUUAUUGGGCGUAAAGAGCGUGUAGGCGGCCAGACAGGUCCGUUGUGAAAACUCGAGGCUCAACCUCGAGACGCCGAUGGAAACCGUUUGGCUAGAGUCCGGAAGAGGAGAGUGGAAUUCCUGGUGUAGCGGUGAAAUGCGCAGAUAUCAGGAAGAACACCCGUGGCUAAGGCGGCUCUCUAGUACGGUACUGACGCUGAGGCGCGAAAGCUAGGGGAGCAAACGGG
rnacentral:rRNA from 1 species